GAGAUAGCUCAGUUGGUAGAGUGCUUGCCUUGAAAGCAUGAGGAUCUAGGUUCUAGUCUC
rnacentral:tRNA from 1 species